rfam:Schistosoma curassoni strain Dakar, Senegal genome assembly, scaffold: SCTD_scaffold0002415
AUACAGCUGACAAGUCCUAAGUAGGACGAAACGCGCUUCCUGCAU